rnacentral:tRNA from 1 species
GGAAUAGCUCAGUUGGGAGAGUGUUAGACUAUAGAUCGAAAGGUCCUUGGUUCGAUUCCUUUUUUAUUUCA